UGGAGCUGAAGGGGCAAGUUGGAGUUGAGUGUGCACGGGACAAAGCCGCGAGGCUGGGAGCCAGCCGCCUGAGAGCUGCCCGGCGCCGGGGCUCCUGGCCGGGGAAGCAGCCCCUGGCGGGCUGGCGGGCUUUGCGGGGACGCACCUGCGGAGGGGUUGCUGCUGGAGCUCAAGCCCCUGUCGGUGACCAGUUGCGAGACACGGGAUUUGCUCCGUGGAUCUAGCGGCCAGGCCUAGGGAUCUGGCUCGGCGAGGUCAUUUAGAGACCACAGUGAGCUGCCCAUGAUGGAAGGGGAGGUGGCCUUCUGGGACCUUUGCUUUGCCAUUAUAAAGUUUUGCAGUUUCAGGCUCCAUCCCCUGCGCGGGCACAUGCUGCCAGUUCUGCCGCUUUGACCGUGCCGGGUGUAGCCCGCGCUCCAGUGCGGCCAGCGGUCAGUGACCGCGGGCCUGGGCGCUCACUGCGCGCCCUCGCUUCUCAGGCGGGCCCCGGACACGGGCACCUUUCCUGCAGUCUGCUUUGGUCCUCAGGGACGGGCUCUGGGUACCCAGCAGCCGAGGGAAGGUGGCCAGCGCCUGAUGUCCGGUUCUUCAAACUUUCCUCUGACUGGAGCAGAAAAAUGCGAAGGCGGGGGGCAGCGCGAGUUGCGUGCGCGGCAGGUGCCAGGCUCAACUUGAGGGGAGCUGGCCCCGCGCGACCACCUAGCCACGACCCUCCCUCUCCCUCCGCCGCCCGGCUCGUUGCAGAGCGUUGCAAAGUUGGCGCGGGUGCUGGGGAAGUCCCGCCGCGCCCCCACGUGGCUGCCGCGCGGGGAGCUGUCCCCAGGGCCCAGGGAGGGCAGGUGACCACGCCGUGAGCCCGCAAGCCCGUCUCCAGCUACCCCGGCCUCUGCGUCUGCCUCCCUCCCUUUCCAGGUCCGGGCGAACUGCGGCGCUCCGCCGGGACCCUCUCGUCCCUGGACCCGGCCCGGUGGCCGGCGAGUCUCGGCGCCUGUGUCUGGCGACCCGGGCCCUGCGGGAGCCGGUUGAGGCGAGAGCUCAGGUAGCUGAGGGGCCUGAUCCCUGCGCUCAGCGCUCCUGCCUUAAUCCGCCCCUGUUUCCAUGGCAACAGACCGAGGUGUCGUAAGCACAGGAUUCUGACCUCACAGUAGGAUAGGGAAGGAGAAAACGGGCAGGGGGAGGUGGUGGAGGAAUGGGAAGCGAAGCCUCAAGAUGGGCGGAGAGGAGCAGGCGUGGGGGUCAUGGAGGAGACCCCACUAGCAGGUGGGACAGCAAGCUGGGUCCUGUCUUCUGGCAGGACAUUUUAGGAAUUGCGUGCACUGCCUUGCAUCCCUUCAGGAAAGGACUCUACUGGCCACAGCCCCACCUCUGUGAACCAGAACAGCCUGAGUCGUCAGUGGAUCCUGCUGCUGACAGUGCUAGUAGCUGAAGGCUUCAGCUGCUGCCUGCCCUCUUUUCCAUCUCCUGGCCUACCCUGGCAGAAACAGGGAUAUAAAAAGCAAGCCUCUGGUCAGAGAUGAGAGGCAGGCAGAGCAAGCCAGGCCCCGAGCCACCCAGCACCAUCCAGGAAGAAAAAGCAGCCCUGUUGGGGGUUUUGCUUUGCCAGAAGUGGCCUGCUUAAGGUCAGGAUCUAUGGUUUUCAUUUUUAGAGCUAUAAAAACAGAAUGCAAAUCAACAGCCUCUGGGCUAAUAAAGAACCUGUCCUUAAAGUUUUUGUCUUGUUAAGCAAGGAAAUAGAGUGCCAAAUAGGCUUUGUUAAGUGGCAGUCUAAUUAAUAAUUUAAAAUCUUGUAGCUGUCUUUCAUUAGAAUUUAUCUGUACAUCAACCACAAAAUCAGUCAAACACACUCAUUUAUAAGUUAAUGCCAUCUUUGAAUAAUUCAGCAAGAGCUAGAUUAAGGUCUGCAAUCCAGUAAGAUGCAUUUUGUUCUUUUGGUUUCCAUAGCCAGAUGGGCUGGCCUGGUGGCUGGAUUGGGUCUCCUUUGUGUGAAGAAGGAGGGGAGGCAGAGGGAGGAAGGGACCAUGGGGUUGUCAGUGCUUCGUCCAUUUGAUCCCUGAGGUUCCCUAGGUGACCUGAGAGUCUCCAUGUGGCCAGGGGUGAGCAGGCUCCAUCUCUUGGAGCUAUCCAUAACAUGGCCCUCUUUAGCUCCGAUGGAGAGGAGAAGGGAGGAGUGUUCCACCAACAGCCAAGACACUUCUCUUUCCGCUGCAGAGGAAGUGUAGAGCGGAAAUACAAGAGCCCUGCUUGAGAGGGUUGAGAUAUGAGGCUUUUGUAUCCCAAACCCCGGUGCAGAAGUGGAAUUUCAGUCUUCCCAGCCUAAUUUUGUCCCGCUCAGGGAAUGCAGCCUGGUGGAACCAAUGUCACCAAAACAGCUUCUAUCAUUGGGAGCCUCUGGGCUGCUUCUUUCCUCCAAGUUCCUCGUCCUUGUGCCGGAAAAGAGAAGCCAAGAGGAGGAAUUUUAGGGGAGCACCGGGACACAACCAACAGAAGAAGAGAGGCAGAGCGAGUUGCUAAAUAAAGCCCAUGCAUGCAUUUUCUCAUCAGUAGCCAGAAUAAAAGCAAGGAAAGCAGCGUAUUGUUUCCCUUGUGGGCUCAGACCACACAGAAAAUGUGUUUUGGUUCGAUUCCUGUCACGCCAAUACGUGGCCAAAUCCUCACUGCAGCUCUCAGGUCCAUUUUUGACAGACAAGCCGUUCCAGACCCAAAUUCCGAGCAUGGGCACACGGGCUCCUGCACUGCAGGAAGGAAUCCCGGAGUCUGUGGUCUCCAUCUCGGGCUACUGCUCCUGAGCCCUCUAGAGGGUUCAAGGGCACUAUUUAUGGACACCAGGUAGAUAGCUGGAGCAGACGGUGGACUUGACACCAGCAGAGGUUCUUGGCCAGGUUCAAAAAGGGGAAGUCUUGUUAGGAAGAGGAAAAUGCAGGUGUCUGUCCCCUGACCUGUGGCAUAGUUGACAGCAGAUGAGGAUGAGGAGGGAGGCUUGUGGGGUGAAUUCAACUCUGAGCUUUGGAGUCACAGCCUGAAAAAGGACACAGCAGAAGUUCCCUUGCUGGGGAUGAGAAGGAGGGGGCAGGCAUCAUGAAGGAUGUCAAGAACGGAUCUGUUUGGCACCAUCUGCAGCAAAGUAGUGGUUAAGGUUAAAACAGAGAGGAGAUGACAGGGAGAGAACAGAUGGCCAAGGAAGCAAAAUAGCUGGUGAAACGGGAACAGAGCCUCCAGGGACAGCAGAAGGCAGGACCUCUGCGCAGAGUGCCGGAAGCAGCCCUUUCUCGGGUGCGCUGGCCAGGCCACCCUGAGUAGAAGUGAGUCGGAGAGAAGAGUGGGACAGGGACUUCAGGGUGAGGGUUUCCUCAAGGCCUGGGAGAAGACCCAGGGAGACAUUAGCUCCAAGGUUAAGGGGCCCAGAGCAGGGACUUCCUUGGAUGCCUUUGAAUUGGGGAGAGGAGGCACGCUGACUUGGUUGGUGUCCAUUGCCACGGCAAGGCAAAGCCACCUUGGGUCUUAGAGCAUGCGUGGUUGAACCCACGGGGAGGAGGUAUGCAUGCUGGCUGGGAACAGGGACAGCAAAGAUCCACUUGUGCCCAUCCGUGUCCAUGCAGUGGCAAUAGCUGCUUGUAAUUACUGAUGGGCCGGGCUAAGUGACGCCACACCUUACGUCAUGUGAUCUCCGUAAUCACCUUUUGAGGUCAGUCUGUACUUGCCCCUGCUAUACAGAUAUGGAAACUGAGGCAUGACAAAUGAAGUCCCUUGUCCUGGGUCACUCAGCUGGCACACUGUUGAGUCAGAAUGCAAUCCCAGAUCUGUCUGCCACCACACUCUUUCACUUGUUCUCUUGACCCCUAAACUCCACUGUCUCACGUGCCCAUCUGCCUUGAAUUCCUAUGACAUUUGUUUUGCGGGAUGCUGGACACUGAUGAAUCAUUUGUAUCUUGUUACAGAGCUCCCUGGUAGUUCCCAGGCACUCCCCUUCUGGUUUACCCCCAGGAGCAUCUCCGGCUGGGGCCUGGGGCUCGAGGACCCUGAGUCAUCGUCCCACCUGUCCUCUUCUUCCCUGCCCCUCUUUGUAUUUGGGCAGAUACGCCCUCACCUACUGCCUUCUGCUGUAGUUUCUUCAUGACACAGAUGGGACAGUGGGCCAGCACCAUCCUGCUUGCUUUCGUGCCCUUGAGAAAGGCCGGGACGUGGUUUAUUUGGGGGCUGGAUCUUGCCACUAUGUUGCCCUUCCUGGCUAACCUCGUAGACCUGUGAACAGCCACCCUCCAGACUGGCUGGUGCUUGUGUGGAGAGCAACGGCCCCAGGAUGUGGCUCAGGUGGAUGGUAGUUGCACGUCCCUCCACCUGUAUCUGCCCCCCCACCUCUGGGGUUCUCCCUCCCUCCUGGGGUGGCGCUCCCAUGGCCCAGCCCUAGUCUGUUAGCUGGACUGUAAUGCAGAGCUCAGAGUGGUCUUCUAGAAGGGACUUCCCCUGCCCCCUUCAGAACAUGUUUGAAUCCUCUGAGUGAGAGCUCUCAUCCACCAUGGUGAGGCAAGGUGUCUGAUCUCACAGAUAGGCUGGUGCUUCCGAGCCUGUGAUUAUUGUCUAAUCAGUCAGCGAAGUUGGGAUCCAAAACAGCAAACAGCUCUGCUAUCUGAUUCAGAAGAGUUGCCCUGGAGGCCUCCGUGUUGGCACAAUACUCUGUGUGUGUGUGUGUGUGUGUGUGUGUGUGUGCAGAAACACACCUGGCAAGCGUGCAACAAGCUCCGGACGUGUGCGAGCCGGAAGUGUGCUGAGUGCAUGUGCCCGACCUACUGGCCCUGGAGCCUAUGUCAGCACCCGCACCUUGGGUCCGCUGGUGCCGCGUUGGUGCCGUUGGUGAGCUGGCGAGCUGCUCAGUGGGGCACUCCAGGGGUGAGUGGGCCAGUGCUCCAUGCACUGCACGUCGGUGACCAGGCUCCCCCGCAUGGCUGGGGGCACCAAGUGGCUUCUAGGGGACAGACCUCCGCAGGCCCUGGACCUGGGCCUCUUGGUGGCUCCCUGGGCUGAUCCCAGAGGGCCGUGGCAGCAUAGUCAGGGUGCAUCCAUGGGAAAUGGAGGAAGAGCCUUCUUCACGUCAGAGAAAAGCUGGGCUCCCGGCUCUCAGCCCACUGAGGUGAUAUGAAAGUUUGCUUCUGCCUCUAAAAUUGCCCUCGCAGAGCCUGCCAUCUCUCUCCGGGCUCUUGUGCCAACACAUAGUGAAGGGGGCCUUUACAUAUGCUUGUAUAGAGAGAUUCAUGAGGCCCUGGGGGGAAAAUUGGCAUUCUUCUCACAAUGAUUUAUUUAUAGGGCGAUUGGAUGAUGGGGAUAUGGAGGCUAAGGUGCCUCCAUUAGUGAGAAGCACACAAGGCAGGAAGCCUUGCUCUGUAUUUGACAUUUAGUGGGGCGACUCCUACCAGGGAGCUGCUUUUUCUUUUAGAAGGUUUUGCCUUUAAUGUUCUAUUCAUGGGCUUGUCUGAGCAGGCUGGGAGAAGGAAGGAGCGUGCAGGGCAGUGGGUUGCCCGGCUGAGGCUGGCCAGCCUAGGGGGCAGCAGGGCCUGGUAGGUCACGCUGUGGCCGAUGUGGGGCAGGCUGGGCAGGCCUGACGCUGGGGGCCAGCAGCUCUGUUCCUGCACCAAGGGCCACCUCGUUGGUAUGUGCUGUGUUCAGUGUGUCAUUUGGUGUUUCCUCUCCUGUCUGUCUCUAUUUUCACCGGCCCCCAGGCUCUGCCUCAAACAGCGGCUCUGUGUGACCCCGGCUUCGGCUUGGCCAUGGCCCUUUUCUUCCUAGGGACUGUGGGGUUGUAGAAAGAAUACCAAAGUUGGAGUCCCAGGGCUGUGUUAGGUUCCAUCUCUGUGGCUGACUCACUAGGACCCUGGGUACGUUUCUUCCUCUCUGGGCCUCCGUUUCCCCAUCUGUAACCUGACUAGAUUGAUGACUUUUCAAGUGUUUUUGGAAGUAGAGCAGUUUCUUCGAAUGAUAGCCACUGACAGAGCCCAGAGUAUAAAACAGAUAAGCGUAUGUGGCCCUGAUCAGAGCUGGGGACAGGGGCCUCCAGCUCUGGCCUCCCUGCCAUCCCAACAGCCCCUCCAGGAGAUCAGGGAGUCUCCUGUGGUCCCGUUUGGCAAGGCAGCGCCCACAGGAAGGCCACUGGGUGUGCUGUGUGUUAACACAGGGACCCAACACUGCCUGCAGGACCGGAGGCCCAGCGCUCUCCUGUGUGGGAGGGGUUGUUUCCCGCUCUCCUUUUGGACCCGCUGUGACUCUGAGAGGAGCUGUCUACACGUGGUGUCUCCUUGCCCUCACCUCCCUCUUACUCCUCCACCCAGACUUCCGGCUGUGUCCUCUGUCACUCGACUGUGGCUUGAUGCUGACCCUACCAGACAUUUUCCUGGGCUCAUCUGACCUUCUGGUGGCAUUUGACUCUGUUGGCCACAGUUUCCCCUUGGCUUCCCUGAUGGCAGCUCCCCUGGUCUUUCCCUACUUUGCUCGCCCACAGAGCAGGCUGCUCCUUCUCAGCCUACUUUGCCAACCCCACUACUUCUUGCCAUCCUCAAGCGUGGCACCUCCCCAAGCAUCGCCCUGGGCGCUGUCUCACCCCCUCUCUCACCUCUGGGGGGGACUUCUGCACGCCCAUGGCCGCAGCUUCUGCUUGCUAACUCCCGCACAUCCAUCUCAGCCGAGGUGUUGCUUCUGCUGUCCGGGGCCAUCCAUUCCACCGCGCCCACCCCCCUGCGCCCAGCGCUGCUUCCGCUGGCAGCCGCAUAGACCCCUCCUACUCAACGUGUUUGAAACUCUCCUCCUACUUCUACCUGAGCUCGCAGCAAACCCACUCCUUCCCCACAUACCCCCACCAUCUUGGCAUCUGGCACCAUCAACCUCCCAGGCACCCUCAGCUCAAGAACCGGGCCCACGAUGAUGACCCCUCUCACCUCACCCCUUCCCAUCAGUCCGUCUCAAAGUGCCACCCUUCCCCCCUCAGCAGCCUUCACACCUGCCCCUCUCCCU